rnacentral:rRNA from 1 species
ACCACUUCGGUGGGGAUUAGUGGCGAACGGGUGAGUAACACGUGGGCAAUCUGCCCUGCACUCUGGGACAAGCCCUGGAAACGGGGUCUAAUACCGGAUAACACUCCCGCACUCAUGUGUGGGGGUUAAAAGCUCCGGCGGUGCAGGAUGAGCCCGCGGCCUAUCAGCUUGUUGGUGAGGUAAUGGCUCACCAAGGCAACGACGGGUAGCCGGCCUGAGAGGGCGACCGGCCACACUGGGACUGAGACACGGCCCAACUCCUACGGGAGGCA